GAAAGAAGGUUGGAAUGGAAGCCAAGAAUCCUGCUGUGGUGGAAGGGGGACAGGCUCCUGAAUCCACCACAGUCCGAUAUUUCACUACUUUUUAAGCAGCCCCAUCAGCAGAGAGAGCUAAUGACUCCCGAAUCAUUUCAGAAUCAAAAAGUUAAAACGAUGUCUCAGUGAUGCUACAUCGUGCCAGACGCGGGCAAAUGGCUUGAAGAUGCUGCUGGCCUAGCAAGAUGGCAACAGCUUUGAAAAAUAGGAUUCAUAAGAAGUUCUUUUUUUCCAGUGACAGGACACAGACUGCAGAGACCGCUGUACUGGUGGACGCUCAAGCCAACUGUGAAGUUGAAACAAAGGAAUCAGGACUCGGUCACCUGAAGACACCUCUUCUGCUAAGCGACACACCCACAUGAUGCAGUUCAGCCAGUAGACUCUCAGAACAAGAGGCAAUCUUUGCAAGAAACAGGAACACUUGAGAAUGACUUCUAGAUUUCUGACUUCCCUUCCUCGUGUGUAUUCCUCUGUUUGUAUUUCAAUUCUGUGUGACAUUCAUCUUUAAAAAAGUGUUUUCUGAUAUGAAUAUGCUUAUCAACACACCCAAUUUUUAAAAUAGAAAAUUUCACACACAUGCUAAUGUUUUAAGGAACAAAAUUCAUGCUAUGAAUUUUAGCCACAUACAAGGUUUGACCUUAAGAGUGACUUAAACAAUAGGAUAUAAAGUUAUUUUGAAACAGCGGAGUCGUCGGAGGUAACUCAAAGGAUAGAAUAACGGUGGUAACUCAGAAUGCAGCGUAGAAAGGCACUACCCUGUGACACCACCAAUCAACCAUGCUUUCUGUCAGGCAAGCUAGGUUCUGCCUCUGCAGAGUUUAAGUUUAGUUAGGCAGAGGUAUGUACGCUUUUGACAAGAUAAGUAACAAAUCAAGUCAAUAGACAAUAACAGUAAAACCAAAGCAAGACAAAAGAUGUAUGAACAAGGAGCUCAGAGGUGGUCACGUUAAACUGGGCAAACUGGUCCGUUUAGGGAAGAAAGUUCGCAAAGGAGGAGGAAAUGAAUCUUAAAAGAUGUUAAAGAUUUCGAUAAAUGGAAAAGAAGGAGAAAAUCGAGUCCUUUAGAUGGAUGUGGUGUUGUGAGCAAAGUCCGGGAAGACUACAUGUAAUUUUAGGGAAUUAUGAUCACACAUGUCUAGUUGCCUUCACCCCAGACUUUCAGUGCCAGUGUGUGUGUAUGUACAUACGUGGUAAAGACUUCAUGGACACAUUGUCCCUCUCCCGCUUCAGGUGUCGCCUAGAAUCAUAAUUGUAUUUCUUCCAUUAAAGCACGUGAGAGUGGCGAUAACAGGAGGAUUUGUGAUUUUUCUCUUGGCCUGAUAACAAUGGAUGUUUAUUGAGUUCUCACUACAUUUUGAGUAUUUUAUACAUCAACUCUCUGAAGCCUCACAACAAUCCUGCAAAAUUUAUCCCCAUUUUACACUAAGAAAACUGAGGUUUAAUGAGGUUAAGUAACUUGCCAAACCACCACAUCCAGGUGUCACAAUCAGAUUUGCCAUCGCAAAGCUCAUGAUCUAAAGCACUAAGUCAAAAUACUACGACCAACAUCACAAUAUGACCACUUCUCUAGUCCUUGAGAUUUUUCUGUGGUAAAUGGUAACAAUUAUCUUCUCAAAUUUUUCAGUUUUCUGGUUAAAUUACACUAAAGUGAUGGAACGUAUUUUUAUCAUGACAGAAAUUGGAGGGGAAAUGGGGUUUAUCAGCAUUUUAGGCUGCUUUGGUGGGUGUCCAGCCUUUGAUGGGACUAUUCAUUUUGGUGAGCAUGAACUCUCCACUUCUUGAGAAUGAAAAUAGAAAGUGAGGGGAGCCUAAAGGUCAUCUAUACAAUGUCCUUUUCUACAGGUGUUGUCAAUCCAUGAAGUUAGAGUGACUUACAGAAGAUCCCACAUUUGCGUGUAGCAAAGCAAGGUCCAGAAACCAUGCCCUCAGCGGCUCUUAAAUAAACAACUGCAUCCUGCCUAAAAGAAGUGUGAGCUUGAAUUUGAUCAAUGACAACAUUCCAUCUGGGUGAUCAGGGGCGGCAUGGAACCUAGUAGACUGCUCAGUUUUGCACCUCUCUGGCUUCUCACCUCAGCGUGAAAAAUAGCUAUAGCUCUGGGCUGACAUCUUUAGAUGCAGGAAUUGUCAGUGGUCCAUCCACACAGAACAUACAAUGGCCCAAGUUAUGUGUACAGUGUCUUCAAUGAUUUGGAAUUCUCAGUUCACCUAAACAGAUCUUCUCAUGAGCAUUUCCUGAACCAAUUUUAUGCACAGUAUAUAUUAGAGCUUCCACAUCAAGAUUUAAACACGACUGUUUCGCUAGUCCUUAUGUUUUUGAUGGUAUCAGUGGUUCUUUGCUAUUUUAACCUUCACUUAUCCAGGUGACUAACUCAAGAAUACUUCAGCAAUAAAAAGCUGGAAUUGAGGAAACCUUAUUCUUUACCAGCCCCUUCGCCUUCAGUUGGCAUUCAGUCAUGCCAAAUAGAGGGGUCAGCUGGAGAACUCAAAUUUGAAAUGCAAUUUUGUCUGAAGUCCGUUAAGCUGUGUUUACUUAAGGGCAAGCUUCUAGAUGUUUGAAAGUACCUGAAUAUUUAACUGUUGUAAAUUUCCAGUUAGAUAUCUGGCAUUGUUGCACUUGGACCUGCUGGUGGCUCAGGUCAUCCUAUUUUCAAAAUGAUCAUUGGCCAUGUGUCACACAAUUCUCAUUAAGUGAGUUCAUAGAGUUUUUUAAGUCAAGCCAAGCACAAAAUGUGACUUUGUUGACAUUUUAUGAGACUUUGUCAUAUGUCCCCUGAACCCCCCAAUAAAAGCACUGUUGCAUCAA
ensembl:lncRNA